AAAUGAAGAUAGAAUGGUAUUGAGCAAAGAAAUUGAAUCAGGUCUUUAGGCAUGCCCUCUUCGAUGCCUUCCGGCUUUGAUUGGGGGGCCUUGUUCCAUGGCAUAAUG